CGCUCUGCAAACCACUCCAGCACAGCUGCGAAGUCGUAACCUGUGAGGGGUGGAGGAAGAGCAGGGAUGUGCACACGUGGGAGUGGAGAAGGCUCUUGCCGAACCUGACCCAUCCAAGGGGGAGCCAGCACCUUGGUCAUCCCUAGAUGUUUUGAAAUCAUUUAUGCUUCACACAAAUACGUGCCACAGAGAAACUGCUGUGUUCAGACAGCUACUGCUGUGGCCUUGUGUGUGGCAACAAGACUGGCAAGUCAAGCUUCUUAAUAGUGUCCAUCAGCACAGCCUAAAAGGCUGUGGAGAGCUGGGUAACUACAGCAUCUGUAUCCAGAGUGCUUUGAGACACCUAUCUCUACUGCUUAGAUCUGCCAGGACUUGUCUAGCUGUGUGAGACUAACUGGAUUCCAUCCCACUCAAAACGAGGAUGCAAAUCACCUGCGUGGCCUGAGUGAUCCUGCUGCCUGUGCACAGAGCACAGCGACCAGCACUUCCCUUGUGGCAGUGCCACCGCCUCCAGUUUCCAGAGGUGGACUCCAGCUAAAAAGUCUGGGUUCAAAUUUUGCAUCCCUCGCAAUUAAGACUAAUGCUUCCCACUGACAWAGGACAAUCUCUAGGGUACAAGGCAUAAUAAAUGGUGUGCAUUUCAAAGCAACAGUGACAAAAAAUGACUUUCCCAGC